AUUUAAAGUGGUACGUGAGCUGGGUUUAAAACGUCGUGAGACAGUUUGGUCCCUAUCUGCCGUGGGCGUUGGAAAUUUGAAGGGGGCUGCUCCUAGUACGAGAGGACCAGAGUGGACGAACCUCUGGUGUACCGGUUGUCACGCCAGUGGCAUUGCCGGGUAGCUAAGUUCGGAAGAGAUAACCGCUGAAAGCAUCUAAGCGGGAAACUUGCCUUGAGAUGAGAUUUCCCGGAGCCUUGAGCUCCUUGAAGGGUCGUUCGAGACCAGGACGUUGAUAGGCUGGGUGUGGAAGUGCAGUAAUGCAU
rnacentral:rRNA from 1 species